rnacentral:rRNA from 1 species
UACGCAGGGGGCUAGCGUUGUUCGGAAUUACUGGGCGUAAAGCGCACGUAGGCGGAUUCUUAAGUCAGGUGUGAAAUCCCGGGGCUCAACCUCGGAACUGCAUUUGAAACUGGGAAUCUAGAGACCAGGAGAGGUUAGCGGAAUACCGAGUGUAGAGGUGAAAUUCGUAGAUAUUCGGUGGAACACCAGUGGCGAAGGCGGCUAACUGGACUGGUACUGACGCUGAGGUGCGAAAGUGUGGGGAGCAAACAGG